UCCAUUGUAGCUCAGUUGGUAAAGAAUCUGCCUGCGACGCAGGAGACCUGGGUUCUAUCCCUGAGUUGGAA
rnacentral:tRNA from 1 species